rnacentral:rRNA from 1 species
UGGGGAUUAUUGCACAAUGGGCGCAAGCCUGAUGCAGCCAUGCCGCGUGUGUGAAGAAGGCCUUCGGGUUGUAAAGCACUUUCAGCGGGGAGGAAGGCGAUAAGGUUAAUAACCUUGUCGAUUGACGUUACCCGCAGAAGAAGCACCGGCUAACUCCGUGCCAGCAGCCGCGGUAAUACGGAGGGUGCAAGCGUUAAUCGGAAUUACUGGGCGUAAAGCGCACGCAGGCGGUUUGUUAAGUCAGAUGUGAAAUCCCCGGGCUCAACCUGGGAACUGCAUCUGAUACUGGCAAGCUUGAGUCUCGUAGAGGGGGGUAGAAUUCCAGGUGUAGCGGUGAAAUGCGUAGAGAUCUGGAGGAAAACCGGUGGCGAAGGCGGCCCCCUGGACGAAGACUGACGCUCAGGUGGGAAAGCGUGGGGGGCAAACAGG